rnacentral:tRNA from 1 species
GCGCGAAAGGUAAAGUAGCCGAGCCACCGGACUGCAAAUCCGGCUUACCCAGUGCAAGUCUGGGUCGCGC